AACACAUGCAAGUCGAACGCGAAGGGACUUCGGUCCUGAGUAAAGUGGCGCACGGGUGAGUAACGCGUAGAUAACCUGUCUUCAUGUCUGGAAUAAUACGCCGAAAGGGGUACUAAUACCGGAUAUUCUUGCUUUUCAUAAGUUAUGCAAGCAAAGGUGGCCUCUGCAUAUGCUACUGCAUGAAGAGGGGUCUGCGUACCAUUAGCUAGUAGGUGGGGUAAUGGCCUACCUAGGCGACGAUGGUUAGCGGGUCUGAGAGGAUGAUCCGCCACACUGGCACUGGAACACGGGCCAGACUCCUACGGGAGGCAGCAGUGAGGAAUAAUUGCGCAAUGGGGGAAACCCUGACGCAGCGACGCCGCGUGAGUGAAGGAAGGCCUUCGGGUCGUAAAGCUCUGUCAAGAGGAAAGAAGUGUACAAUGGCUAAUACCUGUUGUAUUUGACGGUACCUCUAAAGGAAGCACCGGCUAACUCCGUGCCAGCCGCAGC
rnacentral:rRNA from 1 species